GGGGUUGUAACUCAGUGGUAGAGCACUUGCCUAGCACGAAUGAGGCAUUGAGUUCGAUCCUCAGUACCACA
rnacentral:tRNA from 1 species